rnacentral:rRNA from 1 species
UGGUGGAGUGAUUUGUCUGGUUAAUUCCGUUAACGAACGAGACCUCAGCCUGCUAACUAGUUACGCGAAUCUUGAUUCGUGGUCAACUUCUUAGAGGGACUAUUUGUGUUUAAUGAAUGGAAGUUUGAGGCAAUAACA